rnacentral:rRNA from 1 species
AACGAACGCUGGCGGCAGGCCUAACACAUGCAAGUCGAGCGAGGACUUCGGUCCUAGCGGCGGACGGGUGAGUAACGCGUGGGGACGUGCCCUUUGCUUCGGAAUAGCCCUGGGAAACUGGGAGUAAUACCGGAUGAGCCCUUUGGGGGAAAGAUUUAUCGGCGAAGGAUCGGCCCGCGUUGGAUUAGGUAGUUGGUGGGGUAAUGGCCUACCAAGCCGACGAUCCAUAGCUGGUUUGAGAGGAUGAUCAGCCACACUGGGACUGAGACACGGCCCAGACUCCUACGGGAGGCAGCAGUGGGGAAUCUUAGACAAUGGGGGAAACCCUGAUCUAGCCAUGCCGCGUGAGCGAUGAAGGCCUUAGGGUUGUAAAGCUCUUUCAGCUGGGAAGAUAAUGACGGUACUAGCAGAAGAAGCCCCGGCUAACUCCGUG